ACAUACGACCAUUGGAUCCUGAACAUAGCGCUUCCCGUCCGCUCAGCGGUACUCAAGCAGGAUACCGGCGGAUUAGUAUUGCGAUCCGUGAGGGCGCGAGAAUCCCCGCUGUUGUAUGUU
rnacentral:rRNA from 1 species